GUGAAUCCCGGAGCAUAUGCAAAUAUGAUAAGAUAACGCGUACGCACGGACUGCCAGGCAGGCAUACAGCGGUGCGCGCUAAAGGCAUCAGUGCCGCGCCUCUCUUUUUCUAAAGGGAGUUAAGUGUACUUCCACAAUUAGCGGCUUCCAUGUACGUGAAACGAGACGAGGGCCGUGUACACCUGACAUUAUGUCCGGAGGCCAGGAGGGGACCGGACACGCGAGGGAAAAAUCCCGAUCACCGGGGAGCGACGAGACGCACCAGGGCCGCCUCGUAUGCGCUCUGGAGAUGGAGAUGACCAAACGCGCCUUGCACGCCAACUCCAAGGCGGAUUGUGGGAACUACGACGGCUUGGUGCAUAGAAACGGCGGGGACUCAGCGGAGGUGGCCGUGCCCGUGUCUCUCUCCGGCAAGAGGGCGACUCAAAUGGAGGGAGACGACCUGUACAGGCUGCGCGACAGAAAGUUCUUGUUGGAGGACAAGAAGCGGCUGUGCGCGCUGGCUUUGGCCGCAGCUCUGCUCGGAAUAUUGCUCAUGAUCCUCCAUACCGAGAUGUGUCCUUUCGUCUACAAACCGGGCACCGACAUUGCCUUAAUCAUCAACUGUUCCAUCAGCUUGUCCACUGGCUGUCUCCUCAUCUUCAUCAUUGCUUUCCAUUACAAGGACAUCAGGCUCUUCAUUAUCGAUCAAAACCAGGUGGACUGGCGCAUUGCCAUGACCAGCCACAGGAUUUUCCUGAUCACGCUCGAACUAUUAACCUGUGCCAUCCAUCCCGUCGGCACAUACUGGGAGAUGGGCCUCCACGGCAACUCGUCUUUCUCACCUCCACUGUGUGACUCCAACCAUCACAAUACGACCCUCGCCGAUUUGGAGCUGCUGCUGUCGGUGCUGAUGUUCCUGCGCCUGUACCUGGUGCACCGGGCCGUCCUGUUGCACAGCAAAGUGUUGCUGAGCGCCUCCUACAGGAGCAUCGGCUCGCUCAACAAUAUCAACUUUACCUUCCGCUUCGUACUCAAGGUGCUGAUGAACAAGUAUCCGGCUCGCACCCUGCUGGUUUUUAUUCUCUUCUUCUGGCUCACAGCGUCCUGGAUGCUUACUCUGUGUGAGAGGCAGACCGCAGGUUCGACAGAUCACAUGGAAACGGCCUUGUGGCUCAUCGCCAUCACCUUCCUGACGGUGGGCUACGGCGACGUAGCGCCCAACACACGCUGUGGCAAGUCGGUGUGUCUCUUCACCGGAGUCAUGGGUGUAGCCUGUACCGCCAUGCUGGUCGCCGUGGUAACCAAGAAGCUGGCGUUGAAUAAAGGAGAGAAGCAUGUGCACUUUUUCAUGCUGGACAUCCAGAUCUCAAAAGGGCCUUCUCAAGGCGUCAAACAGAGGAAAUCAUCUUCAGUCCGGAAAAGAACUUGUGUCAGUUCAGGACGGUGGCAGUGAUUGGCAGGAAAUGGAAUGCGUGUGUGUGCAUGUGUGUGUGUUUAUAUAAUUGCAGCCCUCAAAUGGUGGGGACCAACAAAUGCAUUCUGCAGAGGCUUCUGUUGUUCACAUAAUAACAUAUUAUAUAUUCACAGACUGUGAAUUAGAUUUAGUUCUCACUCUUUUUCAGUAAUUCCUGGUUUAUUGUGAGUGUUAUAAUUCUGACCACCCCCAUUAGCAAAGUAGCAAGCAUAUUAGUUUUAUGAUUUGUGUCCUUUGUAUUUUAAAGCUUUAUCCGUUAUACCAACAAGAUGUGAAUACGAAGUGCAGGUAUUAUUUUGUCCACUUAGGUGCUGCCUUGUUAAGUGACAUGAGAAUGAGUAAAUGAGCGUUUGGCUGUUAAUUAGCUAAACUAUGUCAUGUGGGAAUAUGAGCUGGUGUUUAUUUUACUCUCUUCAGAUGUCAAAUGGCUCCAUAUGGUGAAUAAUUCAAGUAACCCCCUCCCAUCUAUUCCAGAUCAGCCUUGCAAUAAGUGAAAUCUGAGUUAUAAAAAUAACCUUGCAUGUAUUUAUAGAAUUCAUACACUUAGGUUUCUCUAAAUACACAUUGAAACAUAUAAUUUAUUGCGUGAGAGCAAUAGAAAAAUAUUGGAUAGUGCAGUCAGUGUAACAUCGUAAUGAUUAUUCUGUUUUUACAGUUCAGUAAAUAAAAAAAAAAAAAAAAAACAAAUAACUCAUCUUAUAUACAUCAAUAAUCAUGCGCACGGAAUGGAAAUAAAUUAUAAAACUAAGAUACAGGGAUGACUUCAGGGUUAUAACUCUUCUUCGUUCCGAUUUUUCAUCUCAGAGUAAAUUAUGUAUUACCAUCUAGCGGCCAUGAAUAGAAUUACACUUAGAAUAGAUGCAAUUUAGCAACUGCAAUGAGGGUACAAAGAAAUAUACAAAAUAGUGGAACCGCAAAAUUGGAACCACCAUACAGGAGGAUUUAUUGGAUCUCAAAUUAUUUAGGAUUUAGGACAGGAUUUAUUCCCUAUUUGAUUAAAAUUCUGAAAAAGGGAGGCGUCUAGUAAACCGUUAUAAAGAAAUACUGUCCGAAGGUUUGUUAGGCCUCAUUGAAAUGAUUUCUUUGGUAAGUUGUGACUCAUACGCAGUGUUCCUAGCAAACUAGUGCCCGGUGGUGUUUUGGAGGAUACAACCAUUUCCUCCCUUCCAGUGUGGCUGCAUCCUGUCACAAGGUGCAUCUUUACACAUUGCUCACUGAUUGUUUUGGUCCUUGUGUGUGUGCGUGCAUCCUUCGAGUCCAGAUUUACACUGAUGGGAACAAGGGAAGACACCUGGAUGCGGACUCUGACAAGAAUCUAUUAAUAACCCUCGCAUGGGGCCGGCGUGACAUCAUCACAGGGCAGUCAUAGUGAUUGGGAAGGAAGACAAAAGCACGCAUGAAUAGAUUCAAAGACAAAAGCUGCAAAAUGUGAUGCAAGAGGUGGCAACGUUGCGUAAGGAGAAGCAGGGGCAGCAGAUCCGCCACGCUGCUGCAAACGUGCUGCGCGAGUGCUGGUUGCUGCACCGAGCAAACUUGACCAAAAGAACUCGAGGAGAACACCGACGCCACCAGCGAUGUCUUCUGGAGGCCAUCAGAGU